ACACACUAUGCAUUAUAAUCCCUACAAUGGAACGUCGCACAGACUGUGAAUCAGAGGUAUUGCAAUUUGCAACCGCUGGGUUUAGGGUUAUUUGGUUGGUGCAAAAUUGAAAAAAAGUUCUACAUAAAAAAUUGUGGUCUUGUCUGCCAGCGGUUCAUCUUUCAAUUGUGUGAGUGAGAAUCUGAAUGGCAUUUUAUACCAGCGGUGAACAUGAUGAGAUCAAAGGACGCACGAACACAAAAAACUGGCCUAACCUCGUCAUCACCAGUCAAAGACCGAAGUCCAGGUCUGAGAAUAUACAGGCUUUUCGCCACUUUUCUCAGGUUUCACAGAAAGACGGGGUGACUAAUAUGCAUGUGCUUAGACAGAAAGUAGUUUCAGUGGUCAAGUUGUGACGCUCGAAACAACAUCAGCUACCCACAUCACAUCUUCUUGAGCUUAACCUAGCCCAAUAGUCGAGUUCAACAACUAGUUGUGUACGUCAGCAAUUCGACAUUUUUAUGAUCGUCUGCAACCAAUCUGCGUCCUUGGCCAGAGGAGUCACGGACCGUGAAAUUGCGGUUCUGCUUCCCAAAAACUAUGCUAAACGACUUACAAUAAGGACGCGCUCAGUUUGUCUUAUUGCCUUUUUUGCUGAAGAGGCUACAAACUCUGUACAUCAAUUUAAGGUGUAUGCCAAUUUUAGAUUUCCAAGACUAAAUAACCCUUGCGAACUUGUACAUCUUUUUAAGCAGAUUGUGGGGCUUUUACUCUUUUGGAUCAUCAAUACAUAGUUUACGAAAUUUAUACACGAUGAGAUUAUAUUUACGUAAAUUAUAUUAAACCGAUUUGCGAGGCUCGUUUAAACCAUUCCAAAUUAAGCAUUAGUUGUUUCACCGGUUUUUUGUCGAUCAAGUUUUUCAUGCAAGCAAUGUCAUAAAACCAAAUUGUCUGGUAACAUUUCUGUGGAUUUAUUAUAACAUUAUUCGUUAGACUACGUACCAUUGUGUCAAAAAUCAAUCAGUUCUUUCGCAGCUAUUUGAGGACAUAAGAAGAUAUCAUGAAUAACGAAUACAAGUUUAAUGAAAAAACAACAUUAUCCAGUGAACGAGUAUUACUGGUUCUCAAAAGAUUAGUCAAUUUUCAUAGUCAUAAAAGGUAUGAGAUACAUACACACACAUGAUACAUUUGUAUUAAAUUCCUGUAAUGGACAGACACUGACGCAUAUAGUCUGUUCAGUUACGUUUUUGCCAGAGGGAUUUUUUCGAGUCGAAAGUUGUGUUUGUUACCACUUCUUCUGAGAAUCUUAAAACUUGAUUUCUGGCAAUUUUUUGCGUAACAAGCACGAAUAGCAUGCAAGAUAUUAAUGUUACAAAAACUUGUCAAAGUGUAUCAUACAAUUUUAUCUGGCGUUUAAUUCCUUUCGAAGGAAUCAACUUGUUUGAAAUAAAAAAUUAAACACUGA